UUGACUCGGUUCGGUUCGGUUUUUUGGUUUGAACCAAAUUCUGCUCGGCCCUAGGGUUGGCUAUUGGCAAUGAGAAAUGGGGAAGAGAUGAAAUUGCUAGAUCCCUUUUCAGGACUUCAAAUUGAGCUGCCAUGUGAAUGAAUUGAGAGGAGAUGAAGAGAAUGACAUUGGCUAUAGGAGUAAACAACAAGAAGCCAAUGUAUUCGUAUGAAGUGUAAAGCCCCACUUCAGAGGUGAACCUUACAAUCGUGUUGCGCCACUUCUUUGGGUCGAAGUUAAUUCAUUGGAUGUGAUAUGCUGAUCGUUUUUUAUUUACAGUUCGUAGGUUGCUUUUGCAUUUUAUUUACAGUUCUGAUCGUUUUUUAUUUCAUUUAAUUAUCGUGUAUGUAGCUUGGUUAUCUAGUAGGAUCAGUAGUUUUACAGGC
rnacentral:misc_RNA from 1 species